rnacentral:miRNA from 1 species
AUUUUUAUAUAUAUAUAUAUAUAUGUGUGUGUGUGUGUGUGUGUGUGUGGUGAAUUCAGCACUUUCUUUACAAGUAGAUGAA